rnacentral:sRNA from 1 species
UAAUUGUCUUUGAGCUAUGGUGCGCUAUUCUAGUGCGUGAAAUGGCAGUCGAAGGCGGGCCUAAUAAUCCGCUAAGGGCAUACCGAUGAAGUUCCUGGUGGUGGCUUUCGACGCCCAGUCGAGGGUUGCUGCUGGGGGUUAAGGUUGAGGGGGAUCCGCAAUGGCAUGCGGGCGAUACCCUCUUCCGUGGAGGCCUAAGUUCGUGGCUGAGUUUUUGGUUACGGCUUGGGGUAUGAACCUGCAUUAGGAAGGAACUUAGUGCAGUGUAGCCUGCCUUGAGGUGGAGAUGUUGGGAGGGCUAAAGGGACUUCUGCUCAUUGGCCGAUGGGUUUGAGUCUGCCUGAAAUUCUUUUCUGCAAAAGAGGCUAAGCUGUCAUGGGCCGUUAAGGAAAACUUCUAGAGCGAAAACUAACGAGGAUUAAAGUGCGUUCUUAGUGGCGAUCAAGUGCUAGAUUGGGCGACAUUCUAGGCUGAGGGAAAGGGGAAACCGCCUUUACAGGAAACUGGAGGAGCUCAGUGGGAAAACCUACUCGACCUAUGGCGCAAUAUUUAUUCGUCUGUGUCCUAAGGCUCAAAGAUAAACA